rnacentral:rRNA from 1 species
AUUGAACGCUGGCGGAAUGCUUUACACAUGCAAGUCGAACGGCAGCACGGGGGCAACCCUGGUGGCGAGUGGCGAACGGGUGAGUAAUACAUCGGAACGUGCCCAGUCGUGGGGGAUAACGUAGCGAAAGCUACGCUAAUACCGCAUACGAUCUCUGGAUGAAAGCGGGGGACCGCAAGGCCUCGCGCGAUUGGAGCGGCCGAUGGCAGAUUAGGUAGUUGGUGGGGUAAAGGCUCACCAAGCCGACGAUCUGUAGCUGGUCUGAGAGGACGACCAGCCACACUGGGACUGAGACACGGCCCAGACUCCUACGGGAGGCAGCAGUGGGGAAUUUUGGACAAUGGGCGAAAGCCUGAUCCAGCCAUUCCGCGUGCAGGAUGAAGGCCCUCGGGUUGUAAACUGCUUUUGUACGGAACGAAACGGUCCUGGUUAAUACCUGGGGCUAAUGACGGUACCGUAAGAAUAAGCACCGGCUAACUACGUG